UUGGGCUCCAUGAGCUGGCUGUUAGGGCUGCUCUGAGCCAGAGGAGAGUCUCAGCUCUAUUCAUGCCUCCUCGUCAAGGAUGAGUUGGUGCCUCUGCUAGCUGAUCUCAGUUACUCCCAGGCAGGAAGUGCCCUCUGGUGUCUGUCAGGUCUUCAGCCUGGGAAAGGAUGACAGAAAUUGACAAGCAGAUGGAAUCUCGUGUAGCCCAGGAGGUUCAUUAUCAUCAUGACAGGGAGAGUGGCAGCAGGCAGCCAUGGUGGAGGAAAAGCUUUCAUCCCAGGACUCCGGAGGCAGAGAGGAUCAACAGCAUAAGGCCAGGCUGUGCUGCCCAGGGAGAGUCUGUCCUAAGAAAGACUGAAAUCCCCACAAUCCUCUGCAGUACUCCUGUUUGCCCCAAGCAACUUUCCACGCAUGGGGCUGGCAAGCUUGUAACAGGCCCUGAGCUACUGGCCCUUUAAGAUUGCCUUCUUCCCCCACGUGCUGUCUGGUUGGGCUGGCGAUGCUGACGCAUGCUUGACGUCAAUAGCAGCUGGUGGAGUUUGGGCACGAGGAGAGAAGUUGGGAUGGGGGUUGGGGGGAGCGGAGCAAGAAGGCGAUUCAUUUGCAUUUAAAGGGGCCUCUCUUGAGUUAAUUCGCGCUUUACAGAAAUACGUCCUGGGCAAACUUUCUGCCCUAGGCUGGGAAUAGAGGCAAGAAAAUGGCGUGAUACAACUUAAGUCCAAGGCUAUGAGUUUGGUAUGUUCUUCCGCGGAAAAAGAGAAAUAGUCCGUCGGUGCCCAAGCUGGGAGCACGUGACCCGGAGGGGGUGGAGGCAGAAGCUGGGGGUGGGGGGGAGACUACUGUAAGGUUGUGUUUGUCUGCCCCCACCCCCACAUCCUGCCCACCCAACUGCAGCUGCCACCACAUCCUGCCCAGCCGGGGGCAGGGAGCUCCUGUGGGGGGUACACGGACCCGAGACCGCUCUGGCACCAUUCGCUGUCCCUCAGCUCCAGGGCCCUCUGCUCUUGUCCCCAGGUCUGGUCCCAAGGCACCCGGUUCUCAGCAUAGGGUACUACUGUGCCACACGGACCUGGACAAGUUUCUGGCGGACUCUGCUACCCUUUACCCCAACUCUGGCUUGAAGUGGAGUUGUAGGACCCCCAGACUCAACCCCUGUCCUUAUCUACCAUGGUUAUGAAUGCAGAAAUGAGGUAUUCAGCAGAGUUUGCACAAUUCUGACUCACAGGGCUGCGCGAAUACAUUUGCUAAGCGCGUUCCACGCCAGCUCUGCAUCCCCGCAGGAACUCAGGAGCUGGUGAGGAAUACCUUAGGAAAUAAACAAACCCAGCAAGCUAGUGCGUCCAGAGGAGACAAGGGCGGAGUGGAGCGUCCCACCUUCCCGCGGAGAAAAUACACGCCCACCUGCUGAGGGUCCGGUUCGCAAGCUUGGUGGCAGAUGCGGGGAAGAAUUGGGGGUCUUUGCGGUGAUCAUCCAAAAACUAAAGGAAGGAUGACUCGGUGGUGGAGUCGCGGGUGGAGGUGGGGAUUGAGAACUGUCCAGAUGGCGCAGGGGAGGGGAAGGUGAGAGGAGGAGGAUCUGCCAAGCAGCUCACCAGACUAGAGGGGAAGGCUAGAGCACUUUUCCUAGGUUGAGUAAGGACUGACUGCCAGGUAGAAGAGGGUGCUGAGAGGAACAGGGACCUUUCCAGUUCAGGUGAACUGGAGAAGCUUGAGAAGGGGUGGAUAAAGGAGGAUUAAGUUUUAUUUGCCAGAUAGCUUUGUGAAGAUGCAUGUGAGUUUACAGGGUGUUCUUUUUAGGAUGUCGGUGGGUAUCAAGGUUUUACAGCAGGGCUGGAAGGUGACUUUUCUUUAGAACAGAUGGGCGAGAUGACUGAGGCAGUAAAGCGCUUGCCAUGCAAGCCUGGCCACGGAAGUUUGAUCCUGAAACAAAUGGAAAAGUGGAAGAUCCACGCCGUAGAAUUAUCCUCCGACAUCUAAAUAUGCAGCAUGGUACGCUAACAGAAUAAACUGAUUAACAAGAAAUGGUGCACAGCCAGAGGUAGGAGAGGAAGCACGAGACUCAGUCAUUUGCCACCCAGAGGAUUCUGGGAUGGGAAAUUCAAGGGCCAGAAGAAAAGAACUCAGAGUCACUUUCAGGAAGUCCAAUUUUCAUCUAACUUCCAACAUUACCUUGGCCCUUUUCAGUCUUUCGUGGAAAUCAAGACCUCUCCCAAGACGUUUUCACAGUCUGAGUUUUGUCCCACUUGUAGUUUUACUGCCCCCUAUUCUGGUCUCCUGUGAGUUGUCAAGUCAGCAGUGAGUGUCCAGGGCCCCCACCUCCCUGAGCUCUCGGAGCUCUUCCUGCUAGUCUUUUAAUAUCUUCCCCAGGUGACUCACCUUCCUUCCUCAUUCCUUUUUAAAGGACUCAACAUUCCAGGUCUAAAGAGGGCCAGCCAACCAAUCACAGCCAUGGACGGCCAGCCUCAUAUUUGAGAUUGGCUGGGAUCAUGGCUCGCUGGAAGCUCACCAAGUUAGUUAGGGAGAGGCUGGGGAGGGGGAUUCUGGGAAAAAAAUUUUCUUCUGGCCUUGGUUAUGUUUUGAGAAACAAACUGAGUUAGGUUCUCUAGCUUGGAGAGCCUCCAAGGUUGAGGCAGGUUGAACACUCCUGAGGGCUUAGCUGUCCCGGGCCCAUCCUGUUUUGUUUUCCUACAAGCUGGGACCCAAUGGCCUGAAGGCUGUGUUCCCAGGCCUGUUCCUAAGACGUCUUUUCCAGCAGCCCUGAAUCUCUCCAGUCUCAACAUUCUGCUUUUCCCGACGUCGGGAAACAGCCGGAAAAAUAAACACCCUGAUGACUAAACGGUUUCUCCAGCUAGAGCCUGGGGAAGCACUAAAAAUAGAGGCCACAAGUGAGGGGAGGUUCCCCACGGGGAGGGCACUUUCCCAUUCUGCUCCCACCAUAGCCACAAGCAGGAACAAGGCUGUGUUCUCCCAGGGCUUGGGGAAGGGCAGAUGCCUUCACUCAAGUCUUGGGGGCAAACCAGACUGCUCAAGGAGUACUGGCAGCUCUGUGCCCCCACCCCCCAUACUACUAGGAAAACUAAGGAGCAACAUUUGGGGACCAUGUGUGAUCCUACAUAAAUCAGGCUUCUGGAAGGAGGGGCAAAGUGGAAGGGUUGAAAAGGGAGGCCGAGGGACUAGAAGCCUACGUGCUUCCUGUUUAAGGAGGUACAUAUAUGCCUCCAAGCUCUUUGCAGAAUAGUCCUAUUGAACUGGCCCACUAUGAGCCUUUUCUGAACUCAC
rnacentral:lncRNA from 1 species